AAUGUCUCAUAAGCCCUUGCACAUGCAUUGCAAGAAAAGAGCGAUUUGCUCAAUUCAAAUACUGCUGAGACUAAGCUUAAUGUCUCAGAAGCCCUUGCACAUGCAUUGCAAGAAAAGAGUGAUUUGCUCAAUUCAAAUACUGCUGAGACUAAGCUUAAUGUCUCAGAAGCCCUUGCACAUGCAUUGCAAGAAAAGAGCGAUUUGCUCAAUUCAAAUACUGCUGAGACUAAGCUUAAUGUCUCAGAAGCCCUUGCACAUGCAUUGCAAGAAAAGG